ensembl:lncRNA
CAGCUUCAGAAGUAUAUUUUCAGAAUUAGAUUAGGAAUGAACUUUAGAUAAGAAUUUUGGAUUUUCAGAUCACUGGUGAAUGGACCAGUGCUUCUCAUGUUCUGACAGCAUCUUUUUCAUUGUCGGCACUUCAGGAAAUACGCAAGAACUGAAGCAGAGAUGUAAUGGGAAGACCUUUACAAGCAAACAACCUGGACCUUUCUUUACACUUUCAAACAGGUUGACACAGGUACAAACUGUAAGCAGAUUUAGAAACUACAGCGUUACUUUAUCAGAGAUCUUCUGCACUUCAGGUCUGAGAACAGGAUGUUAAGAAAGAUAAAUUUUCAAGCAAUUAAUGUUACACCGGAGUUUCAUUCACUUAUACUGCAAAGAUAAUUUCCAAGAGUCAUUUUGAUGGAUAGAUCACAUAGAGAAAACACCUCAGUUUACAGAGGAACUUCAGUGGACAGUAAAAAUUGCAAUCCUUUUUAUAACCACCACCACAGAAG